UACGGAGGGUGCGAGCGUUAAUCGGAACAACUGGGCGUAAAGGGCACGCAGGCGGAUUUUUAAGUGAGGUGUGAAAUCCCCGGGCUUAACCCGGGAAUUGCAUUUCAGACUGGACGACUAGAGUACUUUAGGGAGGGGUAGAAUUCCACGUGUAGCGGUGAAAUGCGUAGAGAUGUGGAGGAAUACCGAAGGCGAAGGCAGCCCCUUGGGAAUGUACUGACGCUCAUGUGCGAAAGCGUGGGGAGCAAACAGG
rnacentral:rRNA from 1 species